GUGAGGGGAGCGGGCUCGGGGGCCGGCAGUGCCGCCGGGAUCUGGGCUGCGUGACACUGCAGCUAAAGGCACUCUGAGCUUUUGAACCUCUGAAGCCACUUGCAGACCCGUCUGGAAAAGUCUUCAGGGAUCAUGACAUUCUCUGUGGGUUCAGGAGCAGUGCAUGCAGCUGCUUGAAUAAUAUACAUCAACCUGAAAUCUGCUAAAAGGAAAGUCUGGAACAGCAUGUGUAUUUGGUGUCCUAAAGAUAUAUGUGGAUGAUUUUGGUUUUUAUUUUAGAAGUUUUUUUAUUUUUUAAAUAAAACUGUUUCUUCUUCUUU